rnacentral:SRP_RNA from 1 species
GCCAAGUGAGGUGGUGUACACCUGUAGUCCCAGCUACUCAGGAGGCUGAGCCAGGAGGAUCCCUUGAGCCCAGGAGUUCUAGGCUGCAGUGAGCUAGAGUGGCACCACUGCACUCCAGCCUGGGUGACAGAGCAAGAACCUGUCUCUU